GAUGAACGCUGGCGGCGUGCCUAAUACAUGCAAGUCGAGCGAACAGACGAGGAGCUUGCUCCUCUGACGUUAGCGGCGGACGGGUGAGUAACACGUGGAUAACCUACCUAUAAGACUGGGAUAACUUCGGGAAACCGGCGCUAAUACCGGAUAAUAUAUUGAACCGCAUGGUUCAAUAGUGAAAGACGGUUUUGCUGUCACUUAUAGAUGGAUCCGCGCCGCAUUAGCUAGUUGGUAAGGUAACGGCUUACCAAGGCAACGAUGCGUAGACGACCGGAGAGGGUGAUCGGCCACACUGGAACGGAGACACGGUCCAGACUCCUACGGGAGGCACCAGUAGGGAAUCUUCCGCAAUGGGCGAAAGCUUGACGGAGCAACGCCGCGUGAGUGAUGAAGGUCUUCGGAGCGUAAAACUCUGUUAUUAGGGAAGAACAAAUGUGUAAGUAACUAUGCACGUCUUGACGGUACCUAAUCAGAAAGCCACGGCUAACUACGUG
rnacentral:rRNA from 1 species